rnacentral:rRNA from 1 species
GACGAACGCUGGCGGCGUGCUUAACACAUGCAAGUCGAACGGAAAGGCCUGUCCUUCCUUGUGUUGGACGGGUACUCGAGUGGCGAACGGGUGAGUAACACGUGAGUGAUCUGCCCCCAACUUGGGUAUAAGCCUGGGAAACUGGGUCUAAUUCCCGAUAGGACUGCAGGGUGGUGCCGGUGGUGGAAAACGAUUUUCUAGUGGUUGGGGAUGAGCUCGCGGCCUAUCAGCUUGUUGGUGGGGUAAUGGCCUACCAAGGCGGCGACGGGUAGCCGGCCUGAGAGGGUGGACGGCCACAUUGGGACUGAGAUACGGCCCAGACUCCUACGGGAGGCAGCAGUGGGGAAUAUUGCACAAUGGGCGGAAGCCUGAUGCAGCGACGCCGCGUGGGGGAUGACGGCCUUCGGGUUGUAAACUCCUUUCGACCGCGAGGAAGCCGCCUGGUUGGAAGGGUGGUGACGGUAGUGGUAGAAGAAGCACCGGCUAACUACGUG